GACAGAGGAUGCAAGCGUUAUCCGGAAUGAUUGGGCGUAAAGCGUCUGUAGGUGGUUUGACAAGUCUUUUGUCAAAGAUCAGGGCUUAACCCUGGGCCGGCAAGAGAAACUAUCAGACUAGAGUUCGGUAGGGGCAGAGGGAAUUCCCGGUGGAGCGGUGAAAUGCGUAGAGAUCGGGAAGAACGCCAAGGGCGAAGGCACUCUGCUAGGCCUGAUUUCGCGACUGACACUCAGGGACGAGAGCCAGGGGAGCGAAUGGG
rnacentral:rRNA from 1 species